AACAGAAUAUGCAAGUUUCACUUUUUGAAUGGAAUUACUGAAAUAAAUCAACUUUUUCAUAAUAUUCUAAUUAUAUGGCCAGCACCUGUAUAUGUAGUCAGGUGUGUGCCUUUG